AAAAAAUCUGUGGAUAUAUUAUAUGAUAUUUUAUUGGUGGUCCAUCGCCCACAGUGAAUAUCGUGAAAUAUUGAGAUGACGUGUGAUUCCAAUACAAUAGUAUUAUUAUAUAAUGACUUGACUUGCACCAAGUCGCCGAUGGAAUACUUAGCGACGAUGACGACAAAUGACAAUAUUAUUUCUCCGAAAAUAACUGCAGCAUGCGUGAUUCACUCCACCAGGCCGCGGCGGCGACGUAAUCGUCAAUGUGGGAAUGCGAUCAAAAAUCCGUUUCGGUCGCGUACACAGCUGCAUCGCGGACGAAGGAUUUAAUAAAUAAAUGUCGUCCGCCAACUACAGAGACGUAACAUUAUAUACCUUGGCUACGAGCAAUAUUAGCCGCAGUACUGCAGAAGAUCUGACGAAGACGCGAGUCAAAAGACGAUUCGUUCAGACUUUGUAAGUCUAACGAAUUUCGUCCAAAUAAUUUACAAAGACUAAAUUAAAACUGGAAGAAACCAUCACACAAAAAUAACGAUUAAACUUAUUGUUAGUUGGACCAAUGUCAGUCAAAGCUCAAACCAAUAAACCAGCAAUAUCAUUGGGUGCUGCCAUCUGCGUGGUACGUCAUGAGCAAAACGAGGACAUCGCCAUCUCUUGAAAUCUGAUUAUUCGAUGAUAACAACUGAUGCUGCAAAUGUAUAAACGCAGAAUCUUAAAUUACUUGAUUAUCCGUUAAAAUGUUUGUAAUUAUUAUUAUAUUAUUUAUCAUAACACAAAAUCGUUUCUUGAUAAUAUAUAAAAAUUACUGACCAUCUGAAUCGACUGAAUCACGUUUGGUUAAAAUAAAUUACUCAACUUGCGAGUAAAUUUGAAAAUAUUAUUAAUUAUUUGGUGCUUAUAAUAUUAACUGCAACUUAAAAAUAUAUAUCGAACAUGUGUUGAUUUAAACAUGUAACACUUGCG